rnacentral:rRNA from 1 species
UACGUAGGGGGCGAGCGUUGUCCGGAAUCAUUGGGCGUAAAGCGCGUGUAGGCGGCCCGGUAAGUCCGCUGUGAAAGUCCAGGGCUCAACCCUGGGAUGCCGGUGGAUACUGUCGGGCUCGAGUCCGGAAGAGGCGAGUGGAAUUCCUGGUGUAGCGGUGAAAUGCGCAGAUAUCAGGAGGAACACCAAUUGCGAAGGCAGCUCGCUGGAACGUAACUGACGCUGAGACGCGAAAGCGUGGGGAGCAAACAGG